rfam:Schistosoma mattheei strain Denwood, Zambia genome assembly, scaffold: SMTD_scaffold0008556
GCACUGCUGAGGAGUCCCACAAUAGGACGAAACGGUCGGCCAGUGC